GUGAACAUUGACUAACAACCACUUUAGCGUUUUUAUUGUUGUUAUUUAGACGUGUAUUGACAUACUGGAACACGAAAAUGACGCAUAACAUCACAGCAUCGCAUACUUACCCCAGGUAGUGUUUAAUUUGCGUUGGGGACUGGACUUUAUUAGUCGAUGUUAUCUAGGUAAAGCUAGCUAGACUAACGUUAGUUAACAUUGGCUGCUAACUGUAUGCUUUUUCACACUCAAAUAGCCUCCAUCAUGGAGGUGCUGUCGAAUGCAGCCGUGGCAGAGAUCUGUAAACUCGUAGACGACGACUAUGCAGUGUUUCGUUUGGAAAUAACUCAAAGCCAGAAAGAAAACAGAUUGCGGAGGAAACUACAGCUACUCGAACUGAAGGUGGCACGGGAGCGCGCAGAGCGCGUCCUCGCCAGUAGUGUCAAGAUCCCUGACAGGAUACAUUUUGCAGAAGGCAGGGUGUGUGACAUGUCGCCCUGUUCUCUUCUGCGCGACUUUAGAUGCGUUAACCAGAAUUGGUUCUUGGUGAAGGACAUCUCACUGGAGGCUACAGGAGCUUUGUGAAGCCAGCAGGACACAAUACAUGGAGAGAUGAACAACCAAUAACUAUUGAUGAGGGGAGCGGAACCUCAACCCAGCACGUUAUCAGGAUAGAGUCUGCAGAGGCUGCAGGUCCUGGAGGAUUGUCUCUGGUUAAACAAGAGAGGAAUGAAGGAGAGGACCCACAACACAGCAGAAGUAUCCCUACUGGUGCGGAGGACCUAUCCACCAACGCUGCGACCCAGCCCAGGACCCGAUGCAGCAUUAUGGAGUCAGUAGACAUGGAGGAUGGGAAGCCUGACCUGCUGCUGGUCAAAGAGGAGACAGUAGAAGACCGACCAGAGAGCAUUGACCUGCUGAGUGGACUAAAGAUGGGGGAGCAAGGUGGUUGGCUGGAGGCAAACAGAAGAGACUGGGCAGCCAUCUUUGAUUCCUAGACCCAGACCAAUGCAACCAAGUGCCCAAGGGACAACAUAACUGAGCAGGCCAGGACCAGAAGUGACACAGGGGAGUUUACAGAGGACCAGUUGAUAUCCGGAGUUGCUGGUAGGAGAGACUGGACCUCUGAAGCGGCUGGUCACAAACCCUGGUCCUUGGUCAGAACCAGUCACUCUUCCUUCCCGGGUCAGAACCAGGACCGCACCACAAGGGACAGUGCAGGGGGCUAAUAGAGAUCGACAAUCCUGUUCCUUUGAUACAUGCACCACAGUAUCCAUGAUCAGGAUGGGUGUUCACCACUAGAGUUACCUAGCCUAUAACACAGCACACAGCACACAAUCCCAACAACACCCAAACAAUGGCUAGAGGUCAAGGAGGGAGCUCAAAGACUAACCACCUGAGGGUGAUGGCUCCUGCUUCUGCCUCCUCUGGUGUCAUUGGGUCACAACGUGGGAGGCCAAGCUUUAGGAUGGACGCUGACAAGCAGUAAGUACGCAUGCCCAACGUGUGGAAAGGGCUUCGCUUAGGCGAACUAAACUACAUGACCAAAAGUAUGUGGACACCCGCCAGUUGAACAUCUCAUUCCAAAAUCAUGAGCAUUAAUAUGGAGUUGGUUCGCCCUUUGCUGCUAUAACAGCCUCCCCUUGUCUGGGAAGGCUUUCCAUUAGAUGUUGGAACAUUGCUGCGGAGACUUGCUUCCAUUUAGCCACAAUAGCAUUUGUGAAGUCGGGCACUAACAAUGGGUGAUUAGGCCUGGUUCAUAGUCGGCGUUCCAAUUCAUCCCAAAGGUGUUAGAUGGGAUUGAGUUCAGGGCUCUGGGCAGGCCAGUCAAGUUCUUCCAUACUGAUUUCGA